rnacentral:rRNA from 1 species
AGUAACGCGUGGGCAACCUGCCCCCAUAGAGGGGGACAACAGCUGGAAACGGCUGCUAAUACCGCAUAACAAGGAGAGAGCGCAUGUUCUUUUCUUCAAAGAUUUAUCGCUAUGGGAUGGACCCGCGUCUGAUUAGCUAGUUGGUGAGGUAACGGCUCACCAAGGCGACGAUCAGUAGCCGGCUUGAGAGAGUGAACGGCCACAUUGGGACUGAGACACGGCCCAGACUCCUACGGAAGGCAGCAG